rnacentral:tRNA from 1 species
ACACCGUUGGUGAAACGGUAUCAUGCACCGUUGCCAUUAGGACUCAACUCCUUAGUAACGGAUUCGGUGCGGCAAGGGUUCGACUCCCUUACGGUGUA